GGCAGGGAGAAAGAAUGAGGUGGGAAAAUGUUUUGGUUUGCUUUUGUUUCAGUUUUGAAUGCAGCUUCCAAUAGAUGCCUCAGAUUAAAGCUGAAGGGGAAAAAAUGGUUGACUAGUUCUUUUAAAUAUGCAAAGAAUAACGCUCGAAUAGUGAUAGCAUUAUCAUAGAAGUGGUCUCGAUGAGCCCUGCCUGGCCUAUCAUGAAGGGAAACAUCAAUUCCUACCCCAGCCACCAGAACAAGACAGAAUGCAUGUGAAGUGCUGCUCUGCCGGUCUCCAUGGCCACAGGAAAGAAUGUCUGUGGCCUGAGGUCCCCAUCAGUCAGCUUCCUUCUGCCUCUCGACAUCCUUCUGUCACAGAGACUCUGAGCUCCAAAUACCGUCUGCGUCUGCAGGUUCCGGGUUGUGACUAGUCGUCAGGGAAGCAUCUAGCCUGGAUGGUUAGGAAGGAGCCAAGAAUGUUCUCCAAGAUCACAUUGCUUAUUAAUUAACGCCAUGUGAAAGCCAGCUGGUGUGGUCCUGAGAGGAGAAGAGAAGGUUCAGGAAGAGGAUCCAGGAGCAUAAGAUGGUUUUCAUCGGCAAUUUGUCACAGCAACAAGGAGAGUUUGCGUGGACAAGCAUCGUUUCCCAAGAUGAAGACUCAGAGACUGGUGCAGCAGUAUCCAUGCAAGACUUUGUGAAUAAAUGGGCAGACGUCUACGGUUCUUGUAGGUCUUUUUGAUAGUGAUUGUAAUAAUUUUGAUGAUCAUUCCUUUAAAAAAAUUGCAUGCCCAUUGCAAUGUUCCUUUGCAAACCUCUAGCUUAGAAACCUAGAAACCAGUAGCCACGUUGUAGAGAAGUUAUGUUUAAAAGUUUAGCUGAAUCAAGAGACAAUGCCUACAAAUAAAUCCGAAUUCCCAGUUAGAUGCUUGGAAUAUCUCUGGCAAGUAAAUGGCAUAUAAACAAAAUCAUAUUAAAAAAUCCUAAUUGUCAACCAUGGUCAAAGAUGAAAUGUUUUACUUUAAGUUAGUUUUCCCAUUGUAAUGGCAUUAUUAUGUGUUAGCUUUCCCAUUAAUAGAGUUAUGGAUUCCAUGUGGUAUUUUUAGGGUUUUUAUUUGAUAAUUUUCACCUUUCGCUCUGAGUGCAAAAUAAAUAAAUAAAUAACCAUCAAUAAAUAAAGGCAAUAAAAUCCAAUUAAAUGUAAUGUUGGGAAGAAAUAAAAGAGCAGUAUAAGAGGAAAAUACCUACACUACCCAGAUAAUAAAUACUGCUGUUAACUCUGUGAUGACUUUUGCAUAGUCACACAAGUUCACUUUGAAUUCUUUCUCUUGGUGUCUUAAUGUUCUUGAGACUAC